GACGAACGCUGGCGGCGUGCUUAACACAUGCAAGUCGAACGGAAAGGCCCUGCUUUUGUGGGGUGCUCGAGUGGCGAACGGGUGAGUAACACGUGAGUAACCUGCCCUUGACUUUGGGAUAACUUCAGGAAACUGGGGCUAAUACCGGAUAGGAGCUCCUGCUGCAUGGUGGGGGUUGGAAAGUUUGGGCGGUUGGGGAUGGACGCGCGGCUUAUCAGCUUGUUGGUGGGGUAGUGGCUUACCAAGGCUUUGACGGGUAGCCGGCCUGAGAGGGUGACCGGCCACAUUGGGACUGAGAUACGGCCCAGACUCCUACGGGAGGCAGCAGUGGGGAAUAUUGCACAAUGGGCGGAAGCCUGAUGCAGCAACGCCGCGUGCGGGAUGACGGCCUUCGGGUUGUAAACCGCUUUCGCCUGUGACGAAGCGUGAGUGACGGUAAUGGGUAAAGAAGCACCGGCUAACUACGUG
rnacentral:rRNA from 1 species